rnacentral:lncRNA from 1 species
UUCAAUUAAAUUGUGGAUCAGAAGAGCAGAACACUCUCCUGUGAAUUCUCUGAAGUAUCAAGUCUCGUCUACCCUAAACAGCUUCCUCUACAAGACAGUCCUGCUGGGAGAAUGCUUGUAAGGGUCAAGGAGGACAUUUGCCUAUUUCUAGUCCUCUGGAAUCUCUCCCAUUCUCUAUACGAAGUAACAAGAACUUGCACUGCGAUGGUAACCAUGAGCAUGGAAAGGAAAGCAUGGCUAUGAACACCACUCAAAUGAGCAGCCACCCUGCUUAUGCACGGGGAUGCAGAAGAGGCAAGAAGGAGACGCAGAUGGUUGCAAAACAUGAGCCUGACUACAUUCUGGGAUGAGGAGACUGACCGACAGUAACCUGCCAAUAGCUUUGGCCCAUGAGGACAAAGGGAUGCUAUUUCAAGCAGAGGGAAGAGGAGCAGCAUGAACAUCAGACAGUGACUUAGCCCUGAAAGAACUGGCCAGAAAAUAGGCCUGAGAGCUGAGGCAGAUCACUUCCCUCUCUUUCAUGUGCUGCCCAGACUCUCCCUUCUUCUCCUAGUUGACCGCUCCUCACCCUUCUAGGUCAACCAAAUAUCUGGAUAGAACUUUACAGUUCAUGAAGCGCUUUCACAUACAUUGUCUCAUCAACCCUGUGCGAGAGAUUGGCAUUCCCAGUUUGUAGUCAGGGAACCUGCGUGGUAGUAAGGGGCAGGAGUAGGUGUUGAGCAGAGGUAUUGUGAUUCUCUCUUUAUCCAAUUGAACACUGUAUCAGGUUCUCUAAGAGACAGAAGCAUAAGACAUGGCCUUUUGACCCCAGGGGCCUACCAUCUUAUUGGUGAAACACACAUAAAACACAUCAAAAGAUUAGAGAAUAAGUUCAGUAUGUGCAUCAGAUAACUAUAUAUCAGUAAGUAUACAACAAUACUUUCAUAUACAAAGUUAUGUGGCAACCUACCACAUUAAAUCCAAUAUUUCAUUUGGGAGAAGAAUCUUUUAAAUAUUUAUUCAGGUUCAGCGGCUAAAGAUACAGAAAAACACAAAAUUGGAACAUUUGUAGAGAUUUUAUAGGAUCUCUAGACUCUAUUUAUUUGACUAUAUAGGACUUUGUGUCUUGAGAAACUGAAUUUCUUCACUUAUAAAAACGUUAGUAAGUUGUUUCUUGCCUAUUGCCAAAUAAAAUAAAGCACACACAUAAAAAGGAAAGCUCCAUAAAGUCAGCAUAGUUGUAAAAAAAGAAAAGAGAGAAAAAUAAG